rnacentral:rRNA from 1 species
UGUGGGGGGAUUAGUGGCGAACGGGUGAGUAACACGUGAGUAACCUGCCCUUAACUCUGGGAUAAGCCUGGGAAACUGGGUCUAAUACCGGAUAUGACUCCUCAUCGCAUGGUGGGGGGUGGAAAGCUUUAUUGUGGUUUUGGAUGGACUCGCGGCCUAUCAGCUUGUUGGUGAGGUAAUGGCUCACCAAGGCGACGACGGGUAGCCGGCCUGAGAGGGUGACCGGCCACACUGGGACUGAGACACGGCCCAGACUCCUACGGGAGGCAGCAGUGGGGAAUAUUGCACAAUGGGCGCAAGCCUGAUGCAGCGACGCCGCGUGAGGGAUGACGGCCUUCGGGUUGUAAACCUCUUUCAGUAGGGAAGAAGCGAAAGUGACGGUACCUGCAGAAGAAGCGCCGGCUAACUACGUGCCAGCAGCCGCGGUAAUACGUAGGGCGCAAGCGUUAUCCGGAAUUAUUGGGCGUAAAGAGCUCGUAGGCGGUUUGUCGCGUCUGCCGUGAAAGUCCGGGGCUCAACUCCGGAUCUGCGGUGGGUACGGGCAGACUAGAGUGAUGUAGGGGAGACUGGAAUUCCUGGUGUAGCGGUGAAAUGCGCAGAUAUCAGGAGGAACACCGAUGGCGAAGGCAGGUCUCUGGGCAUUAACUGACGCUGAGGAGCGAAAGCAUGGGGAGCGAACAGGAUUAGAUACCCUGGUAGUCCAUGCCGUAAACGUUGGGCACUAGGUGUGGGGGACAUUCCACGUUUUCCGCGCCGUAGCUAACGCAUUAAGUGCCCCGCCUGGGGAGUACGGCCGCAAG